rnacentral:lncRNA from 1 species
UCUGAAUCUUUCUAGCAAAUCUGUGGAAACUGCCUUUAUCUUUCACUGAACGGAUUGAAAUUAUAAUGUUAGAAAAAUGAAAACAGAAAAAGCAAGAAACUUGAUAGAUAUGGUUUCACUUAUCUACCUAAACAUUCCCAUUUUUCAGAUCUUCAACUUGAUUGCUUAUCAAAAAACUUCUUGAAGAAAUCAAUACUACAAAAAGGUUUGAUACAUCCUUUUUUGACUCCUAUAAACAUUAUGAAAUGGCAUUCAACCAUGGCUAAAUUCUGGAUAGGGCCACCACUGUUAGAAUCUGAAUGCAUUUAAACAUAACAAUCCUUGAAAAGAAACACGUCUUUGAGCAAACUCAAAUUAUUUCAUGCAUGUAUAUACCUUUGAUUCUUUUGCACCUCUUUUUGUUGCCUCCUUUCCCCUAAAUCCAUGCCUUUAUCAAAAGCCCCUUCUUUUUCUCUUUAUCAUCAUAUAUAUAUAUAUAUAUGAAAUACUUUAAUAUUUCCUUUAGACAAGAAACAGCUAAAUGAAAUAGUUUGAAUUGACCAGCUAACAAAGAUACAACUAGGCCCCCACUAGUUUUACGUGCGAUUCAUCUGGAAAAUGAAAAAAUUGUAAAAUCUUUCUUCAUGUUAUGUGUCUGAUAACUUUAAUUCCCUAGCUAAUGAAAAGUGAUACACAUAUAUAUCAUAUAUUUUACGCGUGGAUAACACAAAGCUCCACCAAAGCUAAAU